rnacentral:rRNA from 1 species
CCACGGGGGGCUGCAGUGGGGAAUAUUGGACAAUGGGGGGAACCCUGAUCCAGCCAUGCCGCGUGUGUGAAGAAGGCCCUCGGGUUGUAAAGCACUUUCAGUGAGGAAGAACGCCUGGUGGUUAAUACCCAUCAGGAAAGACAUCACUCACAGAAGAAGCACCGGCUAACUCCGUGCCAGCAGCCGCGGUAAUACGGAGGGUGCGAGCGUUAAUCGGAAUUACUGGGCGUAAAGCGCGCGUAGGUGGCUUGAUAAGCCGGUUGUGAAAGCCCCGGGCUCAACCUGGGAACGGCAUCCGGAACUGUCAAGCUAGAGUGCAGGAGAGGAAGGUAGAAUUCCCGGUGUAGCGGUGAAAUGCGUAGAGAUCGGGAGGAAUACCAGUGGCGAAGGCGGCCUUCUGGACUGACACUGACACUGAGGUGCGAAAGCGUGGGUAGCAAACAGGAUUAGAUACCCGAGUAGUC